rnacentral:rRNA from 1 species
GACGAACGCUGGCGGCGUGCUUAACACAUGCAAGUCGAACGGAAAGGCCCUGCUUUUGUGGGGUGCUCGAGUGGCGAACGGGUGAGUAACACGUGAGUAACCUGCGCUGGACUGUGGGAUAACUUCAGGAAACUGGGGCUAAUACCGGAUAGGAGCUCCUGCUGCAUGGUGGGGGUUGGAAAGUUUGGGCGGUUGGGGAUGGACGCGCGGCUUAUCAGCUUGUUGGUGGGGUAGUGGCUUAGGAAGGCUUUGACGGGUAGCCGGCCUGAGAGGGUGAACGGCCACCUGGGGACUGAGGUACGGCCCAGACUCCUACGGGAGGCAGCAGUGGGGAAUAUUGCCCAAUGGGCGGAAGCCUGAUGCAGCAACGCCGCGUUCGGGAUGACGGCCUUCGGGUUGUAAACCGCUUUCGCCUGUGACGAAGCGUGAGUGACGUUACUGGGUAAAGAAGCACCGGCUAACUACGUG